rnacentral:rRNA from 1 species
AUUGAACGCUGGCGGCAUGCCUUACACAUGCAAGUCGAGCGGAGAUGAGGUGCUUGCACCUUAUCUUAGCGGCGGACGGGUGAGUAAUGCUUAGGAAUCUGCCUAUUAGUGGGGGACAACAUUCCGAAAGGAAUGCUAAUACCGCAUACGUCCUACGGGAGAAAGCAGGGGAUCUUCGGACCUUGCGCUAAUAGAUGAGCCUAAGUCGGAUUAGCUAGUUGGUGGGGUAAAGGCCUACCAAGGCGACGAUCUGUAGCGGGACUGAGAGGAUGAUCCGCCACACUGGGACUGAGACACGGCCCAGACUCCGACGGGAGGCAGCAGUGGGGAAUAUUGGACAAUGGGCGGAAGCCUGAUCCAGCCAUGCCGGGUGUGUGAAGAAGGCCUUUUGGUUGUAAAGCACUUUAAGCGAGGAGGAGGCUACCUAGAUUAAUACUCUGGGAUAGUGGACGUUACUCGCAGAAUAAGCACCGGCUAACUCUGUGCCAGCCGCCGCGGUAAUAC